rnacentral:rRNA from 1 species
GACGAACGCUGGCGGCGUGCUUAACACAUGCAAGUCGAGCGAGGUCCAUCCAGUGGCAACACUGGGGAAGACCUAGCGGCGAACGGGUGAGUAACACGUGAGCAACCUGCCCCGAAGACUGGGAUAACACCGGGAAACCGGUGCUAAUACCGGAUGUCCUCCUCUGGUCGCAUGGCCUAAAGGAGGAAAGGACUGCAUCUAAUAAAUGCAUCUUGCUUCGGGAGGGGCUCGCGGGCUAUCAGCUUGUUGGUGAGGUAACGGCUCACCAAGGCGACGACGGCUAGCUGGUCUGAGAGGACGACCAGCCACACUGGGACUGAGACACGGCCCAGACUCCUACGGGAGGCAGCA